CAGAAAAAAAAAAACUAAAAAUAUGCACACAUAGAAAAUUUAAAAAACUGUAAUUUUUUUAAAUGUUUCUUUUUUAUAAUUUAUCCUUUUUAAAAAAAUUCAAAAAUUAUUAGACGUCGGCUAACUUCAGUAUCAUGAAAAAAAUGAUCCUGAAGUUAACAGACAAUUUUCGGAUUUUGUUUGUUCAACAAAUCGAUUACAAAAAUAAAAAACUAAAAAUAUGCACUCGUAGAAAAUAAAAAAAACUAUAGGUGCAAUUUUUCCAAAUAUUUUUUUUUCAUAAUUUAUCCUUUUUAAAAAAAUUCAAAAAUUAUUACGUGUGGGCUGACUUCAGUAUCGUGAAUAAAAAUUAUUUUUAAACAGAUUUUCUGAAUUAAAAAUACAAAUAAAUUAUUUAAAAUGAAAUCCUUGAGGUAUCAGUGAAUGAACUCAUAAAUAUAACGACACAAAAUAAUAUUUGUAUAUAAUGAAAUAAUGGUAUUGAUUAUAUUCGGUGUGAACUAGCGGCGUCAGACGCUAAGACAAAAUUUCGACGCCGAAAUAAAACAAAAUCUCUGCUAAAAAAACAAAAAAAAUUAAAAAAAAUUCAGUCUGACAAUUUUGCGGCAUUUUUUAAAUUUAACUGCGCAAAAAAAAAAAAUAUUUCAAAGCUAGGUUAUGAUCCUUGAAAAUAUAAAAGCCAUUUCCUAGAAUAAGACGGAAUUCAAAGGACAAAAAAAGAAUUCAUACCUGGUGGAUGUAUCAAUUGUCCAUCCAUUCGAAAAAAAAAAUAAAAUAUAAAAUUCUAUACUCUCAAGUCAACGGACAUGUUAACACUGAGCAGGAUCCAUCCACCGAAAUCCAAAGUAUCCAGCCAGCGUUUCCCCGAGUUUCCAACUUGUGGGGGAGACACAUUGGCUACCCCUACUCUAAAGUUUUAUUCAUCAGAGAAGGGGAAAUAUUCACCACUACUCUACAAGACUACCACACAGCACUACUACCACAUACCAUGUCACCAACUUACCAGUCCCCACACGUAUCCAAAAGUCUAUAACUAUAACUAUGAUUUUAGCAUCAAGGGUAGAGGGUAGAGGAACAAACCCUCCACUGUACCCAGCAUCUCAAUAGAUUUUCGAGGGUCUUCAAGUAUCACUACCACCAGCAGCAACCAGAACUGCAGUACUGUCACAUAUAUGGCUGGCGACGACCACAGUAUCAGCACAAUCAAGCUGUCAGACAAUACCAAGAGUACCAUGCAUGCUAUUAAUCAGGAACACGAUAUGAUGUGAUGAGCGAUCGAGAAACUGGAUUGAGAUUAAUCAAGGAGAUUGCUGUAAGUUAUAUGAGAUCAUCCGGGUCAAAAGUGUCCUCGUAAUUAUCUUUAUUAUAUAAUCGAGAUCCAAUAAUUUGUAUUGGUUGCAUUAAAGGCAUUGUGACUAGUACAGGAUUGUAGCUUGGUACAGAGUUGGACAAUAGUCAAUAGUCAAUGUGGCUAAUUGAUGAUCAAUAAACUUUGGAUACAAGUUAUUUCAGAGUAUGGGUGUACAGAAGUUGGAGAUGGAGAGCAUGGAAAGCAAUGGCUAGAUGCUGAUGGGGAAGAGUAAAAGUGUAGAGCAAAGCAAACUGUACUGUACUAUAACUAUGGAAUAGAGGGUACACAGGAGCAAGUACUUGGUAUAUAUACAUAUGGAUAAUGAUAAAGAAAGUGCGGCUGCGCGCGAAAAAGCUCGAUAAAUUUACUCAUUCUAGAGGAUUCAGCGAAUUACUUACAGGUUUUUGGCUUUCAGAAUGUACAUUCGUUCGCAAAAAUUUAAAUUUAUGUUGGGUCGACGCCAAAUUUUUAUUUAAUUAAUAAGUUUUAAAGUGGCCGCUAUAAAAACAUUAAAGGAUACGAUAACGAGCUUUAGAGGAUAAUCAAGUUAUGAUUUUAACUUUACGUUUAAACUUUUGUAGGAUCCCUGGUUUGCUGGAUUGGAUAAGGAUUUAUUGAUAAAAGAAAGUACAGCAGCUGCGUGCAGGAAAUCCAGGAGCAACUUAUCUCGUUUAGGAAAGACAAAUAAAAACCAUGUGGACAUUAGUCUGUAGCAUGCUUUUGAAGUGUGUCCGUACUUGAGUUACUCAAGCAUCUAGUUUACCGUCAGUUUCAUGUUACGAAUCACUGAGCUGCGUAAUAAAUAAUUUUAAAUUUAAAAGGAAUAGAAAAUGUAAGACAGGACGAAAAAAUCCAGGAGAUUUAAACACAUGUAUGCUCACUAAGUCCGCUGACCGUAAAAUUUUUUUAUGAUUUGAAUCUUGAUUGAAAAAAAAUAAAGUUUACUUUUCACUUGAUCGAUUCCAAUAUUUUCCAAUUUGAAAUUUUUACAUUUAAUAUUAAAAUUUUUUUGAACUCUUUUCUGUGGAAAAUUUGUAGAACUUUUUUUUUGUCUAAUAAUUUUUUUUUUUAUCGACAAAUGAUUGAGUGAAAUUAAGUCGAACAUAACUGGGCGGUAAAGUUAAUUUGAGAGGUGAGUUAGCUGCAGAAAAAGAAUAAGAAAGAAGAAACAAUUUAAUAAGGUGAUAAAAAUCUAGUAUAUUACCUCACGUUAUUAAUAUUAUUAUUAUUAUUAUUAGUAUGAUAAAAGAACGAAGCAAUUUAUUGCUUAUUUUUUUAUUUAAUGACCAAAAAAUUUGAUCAGUUAAAUUAUUACUUUAUUUUUAUUAAUUUAAAAUAAAAAAUGUCUUACUCUAGCAGUAUUUUAUAAAAAAAAAUUUCAUAAAAAUCAAUCAAGUUUGCUGAUAAAUCUUAAUGUAGACUUUGAAGGAACAUAAAUUUUAGCUGAGCUCUGAAGAAGUUUGUUAGCCUUCAAGGUCUGGAGCUUCUGAACUAUCGCUUUUUACCCGAAAUUACGUAAUGUUUUAUUUAUUUUCUAUCACUUGAUAUCUUCAAUGCAGGAUACACUGUAAUAUUAUCCGCAGACAGAUAAUUUGAUGCCGCUCGGUCUUCUUUAUUUCAUGAUGUGAACACAAUUUAUUUGUUAAAAUUUAAAAAAAGUUAACAGGAUGUCUAGGGGUUCAAAUUACAAAACGAAUUUUAAAAUCCAAAGGAAUCAAUUUUAUUUUGAUACUUAAUUCCCUUUGUGAAUAUAAAUUUUGGUAAACGGGUAAAGUUUUGAGUAAAUAAUUUUGAAAUAAGUUUCGUACCUGAAUUAUAUUCAAAUUUAUUUUGACUACAACUUCUAACGGUAGUAAAUUAUUCCAAUUCACAUGAAUGUCCCGCAAUUUAAAUUUAAUUACUAUUGAAAUGUGUAAACUUACUGGUGUGCAAGAAAUUACGAGAGUUUGUAAAUUAGUUGACAUACAAAAGUUUAUUUGAUUUCAAUAUAACAGCAACACCUGAAACUUUUCAAGUAAUUGUAUACAAAUGCGGCCAUAUAAUAAACAGCCAGUAGGUUCAUCAAAUCCUCAACCGUCUAUGGUUUCUCAGUUAAGUGCAGAACACAUAACUUUUGAUAAAGUUUCUAUGGAUGGAUGGUAUAAUGAAUGAUUACUCAAUCAACUUGAACCCUUACCAUUCUACGUCACGGUUUCCAGAAUCUAGGCGUAGACUUUACAUUCAUUACUUAAUGUAUAAUUUAAAGUGACGUUUCAAUUCAAUAAAGUUUCAUUACCGACAUGCUACGCUGUUUUUAAAAUAUUAAUUACUUAUUUUUUUUUAAUUUUA